CCCAACCUCAGGACCCCCGCCUGGGCCUUGCUAACUCCCCUCCCAGGUCCUGGUGCCGAGACCCCACCCCUCGGUGGACCGGCCAGAAACCCGGCCCCGAUCCAGGGGUCACCCGCAGGGAGACUGAGUACUAGGUCUGCUCAUGUGCUCAGUGGCCACUUGGACGCCAUCUUUUAGGGAGAUGUCCGUUCACAUCCUCUGCCCGCUUUGUCGUUGGGCAAACUGUUGGCUGUCCAGUUGUAAGGACGCUUGCUUCGCACAUCCUUACAACUAGACCCGCCUCCCGUGUACAAGAUUUGCAAAUAUUUCCUCCCACUCUGUGGGCUGUCUCUGGAUGGUGCCCUUUCAUGCACCAAGUUAGUUGUGAUCAGUCCAAGUUCACCUGCUUUUUUUUCUCCUGCUGCCCGAGUUAUGUACGUAUCAUGGUGAAGAGCCCGCCAGCCAAGUCCCAGGCCGCAAAGACGGGAGAUGGAAAAAUCACACCAGCAGUGGUGCUGAAGGUUCCCCGGAAGGACCCCUGGGCAGCCCCUGCACCUGCACCCUGGGUCCCCGGGGAGGGGGGCAACUGGCAUGAGGGUGGUGACGUGGCUGUGCUUAGAGAGCUUCUGGGUCCCCGUGGAAAAAUCCAAGCCCGUCACUGCAAGAAAGGAGCGGGGUGUCAGGACAGCGGUGUGGCGACUGACCCCUGCACGAGCUUGCAUAUUUUCGUGUAUCUUACAACGAACAGACGUUUGUGACGUCACACGUGCCUCUAACACACGUUACUGGGACACCUCCUGCGUCGGAAGACUUUCCGGAAGAGUCACCGCGCGCAGACCCUUCCCGCCGGGCGUUCUCGGUGGCGCCCACGACCAGGAGACGCUGGUCGUCACCAGAACGAACAGAGGAUGUGGGACUGGG